GCUCGCUGCAGCCCAAACCUGUUCUCCGAGCCUUGCAUCCAGGUUGUGGGCACAGUCGCAGCAGUCCUUGCACGUUUGCCUGCUCAAAGUGUUUUGUGAAACGCAGCCAGGGCUGCAAAGUCGACAGGGAUGGAUGCUCUAUUGCCUAAUUCACAGCAAAGGGCUACUGUGACAAGAAGGAUGAUAGUGAAAGAUAAGACAGUGGAAGAUCAGCUUCUCAUCACCACUAACAUUCAAUUUCCAAACGUUCUUGGUUAAAACUGCUCUUUUCAAAUCAGGUUUUUGCAGAGUGACAAAGAAUUGCUUUAUUUUCUCUGCUCCAGUGAAGAACAGGCCUGUGUUAAUUUAUCUGGAAUAAACAUGCAUACAGCCGACAUUGUCCUCCAAUAACGUUGUUUACAGUUGUUGGCCCUGUCCAGUGUGUUGUAGAUGUGGACUGUUACAGAUGUAUGGAGUGUUAGAAAGGACUAUCUUUGCUAGGAGCAUGAAGUAGCUAUCGCUCUUUGUCUCCCUGCUAUUUUCAUUAGGUCUUAUUCAUGUGCCCCUGAGAGGGAGAGAGUCAAAGUCAUCUGCCCGCUGGUUAUUAUGCUGUUGCACAAAGGGUUUCUUCAGCCUAGAACAGGAGACUGAAAACAAGUCUGUUGAUAAAUUAUUGUGACCCCUCCUAUUCCUAUUUAGAAUCACUGCAGCUGUCUGAAGCUGAAGUUAACACCCCCAUCUGCACAUAUUCAGGGUGUUUUUACACCCGUAAAGAGAACAAGCGCUUCACGCAUGGAGAUCACUUAUCAAGAAAUUCAAGCAAGUCCUAAGCUGUCUCACAUAGCUUCU